rnacentral:rRNA from 1 species
ACGUAGGCAGCAAGCGUUGUUCGGAGUUACUGGGCGUAAAGGGUGUGUAGGCGGCUUUUCAAGUUUGGUGUGAAAUCUCCCGGCUCAACUGGGAGGGUGCGCCGAAUACUGAGAGGCUCGAGUGCGGGAGAGGAGAGUGGAAUUCCUGGUGUAGCGGUGAAAUGCGUAGAUAUCAGGAGGAACACCGGCGGUGUAGACGGCUCUCUGGACCGUAACUGACGCUGAGACACGAAAGCGUGGGUAGCAAACA